rnacentral:rRNA from 1 species
CGAACGGGUGAGUAAUACAUCGGAACGCGUCCUUUAGUGGGGGACAACGCCGAGUAAUCGGCGCUAAUACCGCAUACGCCCGAGAGGGGAAAGCGGGGGACCGCAAGGCCUCGCGCUGUUGGAGCGGCCGAUGUCCGAUUAGCUAGUUGGUGAGGUAAAGGCUCACCAAGGCGACGAUCGGUAGCUGGUCUGAGAGGAUGAUCAGCCACACUGGGACUGAGACACGGCCCAG